GGGGCCGAACUAGGAUCGACGUGUGUUGAAAAGCGAUAUUUUCACCCGGCCUGAGUAAGCCGUAAAAAGGUUCAAAACUCACAAGUGCCAACGAUAACGAGGCUCUUGCUCUUGCUGCGUAAUUGAUGGCCUCACGGCCGGACAUUACUCAAAAAGAACGCGGUUGAACCCACCGGGCAACAGAAGGGAAUUCAGCGGCCUCCGGAGGGGCCGGGCAACAGAACCCUCCGGACC
rnacentral:tmRNA from 1 species